GACGAACGCUGGCGGCGUGCUUAACACAUGCAAGUCGAACGGUAAGGCCCUUCGGGGUACACGAGUGGCGAACGGGUGAGUAACACGUGGGUGAUCUGCCCUGCACUGCGGGAUAAGCCUGGGAAACUGGGCCUCAUCCAGGAUAGGACUCCGGACUGCAUGGUACGGGGUGGCAAGCUUUUGCGGUGUGGGAUGGGCCCGCGGACUUUCCGCUUGUUGGUGGGGUGUUGGCCUACCAAGGCGACGACGGGUAGCCGGCCUGAGAGGGUGACCGGCCACACUGGGACUGAGAUACGGCCCAGAUGCCUACGUGAGGCAGCAGUGGGAAAUAUUGCACAAUGGGCGCAAGCCUGAUGCAGCGACGCCGCGUGAGGGAUGGCGGCCUUCGGGUUGUAAGCCUCUUUCAGCACCGACGAAGCGCAAGUGACGGUAGGUGCAGAAGAAGGACCGGCCAACUACGUGCCAGCCGCCGCCGUAA
rnacentral:rRNA from 1 species